rnacentral:tRNA from 1 species
GUUCUUGUAGUUGAAUAACAACGGUGACUUUUCAUGUCAUUGGUCGUGGUUUGAGUCCAUGUAGGAAUG